GUUAAGCGACUAAGCGUACACGGUGGAUGCCCUGGCAGUCAGAGGCGAUGAAGGACGUGCUAAUCUGCGAUAAGCGUCGGUAAGGUGAUAUGAACCGUUAUAACCGGCGAUUUCCGAAUGGGGAAACCCAGUGUGUUUCGACACACUAUCAUUAACUGAAUCCAUAGGUUAAUGAGGCGAACCGGGGGAACUGAAACAUCUAAGUACCCCGAGGAAAAGAAAUCAACCGAGAUUCCCCCAGUAGCGGCGAGCGAACGGGGAGCAGCCCAGAGCCUGAAUCAGUGUGUGUGUUAGUGGAAGCGUCUGGAAAGGCGCGCGAUACAGGGUGACAGCCCCGUACACAAAAAUGCACAUGCUGUGAGCUCGAUGAGUAGGGCGGGACACGUGGUAUCCUGUCUGAAUAUGGGGGGACCAUCCUCCAAGGCUAAAUACUCCUGACUGACCGAUAGUGAACCAGUACCGUGAGGGAAAGGCGAAAAGAACCCCGGCGAGGGGAGUGAAAAAGAACCUGAAACCGUGUACGUACAAGCAGUGGGAGCACGCUUAGGCGUGUGACUGCGUACCUUUUGUAUAAUGGGUCAGCGACUUAUAUUCUGUAGCAAGGUUAACCGAAUAGGGGAGCCGAAGGGAAACCGAGUCUUAACUGGGCGUUAAGUUGCAGGGUAUAGACCCGAAACCCGGUGAUCUAGCCAUGGGCAGGUUGAAGGUUGGGUAACACUAACUGGAGGACCGAACCGACUAAUGUUGAAAAAUUAGCGGAUGACUUGUGGCUGGGGGUGAAAGGCCAAUCAAACCGGGAGAUAGCUGGUUCUCCCCGAAAGCUAUUUAGGUAGCGCCUCGUGAAUUCAUCUCCGGGGGUAGAGCACUGUUUCGGCAAGGGGGUCAUCCCGACUUACCAACCCGAUGCAAACUGCGAAUACCGGAGAAUGUUAUCACGGGAGACACACGGCGGGUGCUAACGUCCGUCGUGAAGAGGGAAACAACCCAGACCGCCAGCUAAGGUCCCAAAGUCAUGGUUAAGUGGGAAACGAUGUGGGAAGGCCCAGACAGCCAGGAUGUUGGCUUAGAAGCAGCCAUCAUUUAAAGAAAGCGUAAUAGCUCACUGGUCGAGUCGGCCUGCGCGGAAGAUGUAACGGGGCUAAACCAUGCACCGAAGCUGCGGCAGCGACGCUUAUGCGUUGUUGGGUAGGGGAGCGUUCUGUAAGCCUGCGAAGGUGUGCUGUGAGGCAUGCUGGAGGUAUCAGAAGUGCGAAUGCUGACAUAAGUAACGAUAAAGCGGGUGAAAAGCCCGCUCGCCGGAAGACCAAGGGUUCCUGUCCAACGUUAAUCGGGGCAGGGUGAGUCGACCCCUAAGGCGAGGCCGAAAGGCGUAGUCGAUGGGAAACAGGUUAAUAUUCCUGUACUUGGUGUUACUGCGAAGGGGGGACGGAGAAGGCUAUGUUGGCCGGGCGACGGUUGUCCCGGUUUAAGCGUGUAGGCUGGUUUUCCAGGCAAAUCCGGAAAAUCAAGGCUGAGGCGUGAUGACGAGGCACUACGGUGCUGAAGCAACAAAUGCCCUGCUUCCAGGAAAAGCCUCUAAGCAUCAGGUAACAUCAAAUCGUACCCCAAACCGACACAGGUGGUCAGGUAGAGAAUACCAAGGCGCUUGAGAGAACUCGGGUGAAGGAACUAGGCAAAAUGGUGCCGUAACUUCGGGAGAAGGCACGCUGAUAUGUAGGUGAGGUCCCUCGCGGAUGGAGCUGAAAUCAGUCGAAGAUACCAGCUGGCUGCAACUGUUUAUUAAAAACACAGCACUGUGCAAACACGAAAGUGGACGUAUACGGUGUGACGCCUGCCCGGUGCCGGAAGGUUAAUUGAUGGGGUUAGCGCAAGCGAAGCUCUUGAUCGAAGCCCCGGUAAACGGCGGCCGUAACUAUAACGGUCCUAAGGUAGCGAAAUUCCUUGUCGGGUAAGUUCCGACCUGCACGAAUGGCGUAAUGAUGGCCAGGCUGUCUCCACCCGAGACUCAGUGAAAUUGAACUCGCUGUGAAGAUGCAGUGUACCCGCGGCAAGACGGAAAGACCCCGUGAACCUUUACUAUAGCUUGACACUGAACAUUGAGCCUUGAUGUGUAGGAUAGGUGGGAGGCUU
rnacentral:rRNA from 1 species